AUGUUGGACUCAGCAGCACAUUUGCUAAAAUUGAAACAGUACAGUGAAGAUUAGCAUAGGCCCUGAGCAAGGAUGAUGCUCGUUUAUGAAGCAUUCCAUAGAAGA
ensembl:snRNA U6 U6 spliceosomal RNA